AAGCUACUGGGGGAGCCGAAGCUCCCCCCCAAGUAGGUGCGUGCUUUGUUUUUAUUAUGAUUUCGGGCUUGUUGUUUUUGUUUGUCGACCCGUCCCUUGAGCCAGUCGCUUCAGGGAUAUCUCCCAGGCUGGGAGUUCAAUAGCAAACGGAUUGCUUUGGUCGCUGAUGCUGCCAUGAUCGUCGAGCGAUCCAACCAGUCUGUGCGCUGCCUCGAGGCAGUU
rnacentral:ncRNA from 3 species